GAUUCCCUGAGUAGCGGCGAGCGAAACGGGAAUAGCCCAAACUAAAGAGCUUGCUCUUUAGGGUUGUAGGACUGAUGUUGUGAGAACAAAAGGUUAUGAUAGUCGAACAAGUUGGAAAACUUGGCCAAAGAGAGUGAAAGCCUCGUAAACGAAAUCUGAUCCACUCCAUUCAGUAUCCUGAGUACGGCGGAACACGAGAAACUCCGUCGGAAUCCGGGAGGACCAUCUCCCAAGGCUAAAUACUCCCUAGUGACCGAUAGUGAACCAGUACCGUGAGGGAAAGGUGAAAAGUACCCCGGAAGGGGAGUGAAAUAGAUCCUGAAACCGUGUGCCUACAAGUAGUCAGAGUCCGUUUAUGGAUGAUGGCGUGCCUUUUGUAGAAUGAACCGGCGAGUUACGUUAACAUGCAAGGUUAAGAUGAAAAGUCGGAGCC
rnacentral:rRNA from 1 species